UAUGUGAUCGUCUCUCGCAUAUCAAUAAGCGGAGGAAAAGAAACUAACAAGGAUUCCCCUAGUAACGGCGAGUGAAGCGGGAAGAGCUCAAAUUUGAAAUCUUAAAGGGUUUCCCUUUACGAAUUGUAGUUUAAAGAAGUGUUUUCUGUUGAGGUUUUGGUAAAAGUUCUUUGGAAUAGGACAUCAUAGAGGGUGAGAAUCCCGUAUUUGACCUUUACUUUCAACUUUGUGAUACACUUUCAAAGAGUCGGAUUGUUUGGGAAUGCAGUCCAAAAUGGGUGGUAAAUUUCAUCUAAAGCUAAAUAUUGGCGAGAGACCGAUAGCGAACAAGUACCGUGAGGGAAAGAUGAAAAGAACUUUGAAAAGAGAGUUAAACAGUACGUGAAAUUGUCAAAAGGGAAGCGUUUGACACCAGUGUUGUUUUUCUGAAAAUCAAUUAAGAACUGUUUAUGCUAAGUUGUUUAGACUUUAUCAGCUAACUGUUUAGUUUUGAGCUUUUCUUUAAUGCACUUUUCAGUUAACAAGUCAACAUCAAUUUCUUUUGCUGUAAAAAAGCUUGAGGAAGGUGGCUUGAGAUUCGUCUUAAGUGUUUAUAGCCUCUUGCCUAUGCAGUCGGAGAGAUUGAGGUCUGCAGCGUAGAUCCUUCGGGGCUAAAUGCAUUUGUGCUAAGUUAUAGCAUUUUAUAGACAACUUGUUGACUAUGAUUCGUCUUGUAGCUUACUCGCUUAUGUUAUUUUACCUACGCUUAGGAUGUUGAAGUCAUCGUAUCGCGC
rnacentral:rRNA from 1 species